rnacentral:rRNA from 1 species
UACGAAGGGGACUAGCGUUGUUCGGAAUUACUGGGCGUAAAGCGCACGUAGGCGGAUUUGUAAGUCAGGGGUGAAAUCCCGGGGCUCAACCUCGGAACUGCCUUUGAUACUGCAAAUCUCGAGUCCGGAAGAGGUGAGUGGAAUUCCUAGUGUAGAGGUGAAAUUCGUAGAUAUUAGGAAGAACACCAGUGGCGAAGGCGGACUCACUGGUCCGGUACUGACGCUGAGGUGCGAAAGCGUGGGAGCA